UACUGUUUUGCUACAUCGCUGAAAAACUCGUCCUGGCACAGACGUUCACAAACCUCUGCAUACCCUGAUCCUCUGUGAGAAGGAAAGAAGAGGUGCUGAAUUGAAGGUUGGCCUUAAUUAGGAGGUGUCUGGGGGAUGGAGAGCCUGGCAGUAUUUCUGCUGCUCCCUGUGUAUAGGAGCUGAGCAUGACACUGCUGGAGGGAGCAGCAGUAAUAUUUGAUGAAUACAGUGUAUGCUGCAGCAAUUUUCUCCUUUAAAGGAGACCUCCUGGGCAUUGAAUCAGCAGUGAUUAUACGUGGAGCAGGCAGUUCCUGGAAGAAAGUGCUUCAAACCUGCAGAAGCUGA
rnacentral:lncRNA from 1 species